AAGAGGGUAAGUGGAAAUUCCAAGGUGUAGCGGUGAAAAUGCGUAGGAUUUUUGGAGGAACACCCAGUGGCGAAAAGGCGGACUUUACUGGUCUGUAAUUUGACGCUGAGGCUCGAAAGCGUGGGUAGCAAACAGGAUUAGAUACCCUGGUAGUCCACGCCGUAAACGAUGAGUGCUAAGUGUUAGGGGGUUUCCGCCCCUUAGUGCUGGAGUUAACGCAUUAAGCACUCCGCCUGGGGAGUACGGCCGCAAGGCUGAAACUCAAGGGAAUUGACGGGGACCCGCACAAGCGGUGGAGCAUGUGGUUUAAUUCGAAGCAACGCGAAGAACCUUACCAGCUCUUGACAUCAUCUGACCACCCUAGAGAUAGGGCUUUCCCUUCGGGGACAGAUAGACAGGUGGUGCAUGGUUGUCGUCAGCUCGUGUCGUGAGAUGUUGGGUUAAGUCCCAUAACGAGCGCAACCCUUAUUGUUAGUUGCCAGCAUUCAGUUGGGCACUCUAGCGAGACUGCCGGUGAUAAACCGGAGGAAGGUGGGGAUGACGUCAAAUCAUCAUGCCCCUUAUGAGCUGGGCUACACACGUGCUACAAUGGACGGUACAACGAGUUGCGACCCCGCAAGGGUGAGCGAAUCUUAAUAAGCCGUUCUCAGUUCGGAUUGUUCUCUGCAACUCGAGAGCAUGAAGCCGGAAUCGCUAGUAAUCGCGGAUCAGAAUGCCGCGGUGAAUACGUUCCCGGGUCUUGUACACACCGCCCGUCA
rnacentral:rRNA from 1 species